rnacentral:rRNA from 1 species
AUUGAACGCUGGCGGCAGGCUUAACACAUGCAAGUCGAGCGAGCGGCGGUCGGGUGAGUAAUGUCUGGGACACUGCCUGAUGGAGGGGGAUAACUACUGGAAACGGUAGCUAAUACCGAAUACCAGCAGAUGUGCCCAGAGGGGAAUAGCGAGUAUGUGGGGUAAUGGCUCACCUAGGCGCCGAUCCCUAGCUGGUCUGAGAGGAUGCCCAGCCACACGGGAACUGUGACACGGUCCAGACCCCUGCGGGAGGCAGCAGUGGGGAAUAUUGCACAAUGGGCGAAAGCCUGCUGCAGCCAUGCCGCGUGUGUGAAGAAGGCCUUCGGGUUGUAAAUCACUUUCAGCGAGGAGGCGUUACUCGCAGAAGAAGCACCGGCUAACUCCGUGCUAGCAGCCGCGGGAAUA